UCUCCGUAGGUGAACCUGCGGAGGGAUCAUUACAGAGUUCAUGCCCUACCGGGUAGAUCUCCCACCCUAUGUUAUUAUUACUUUGUUGCUUUGGCGGGCCGUUAGGCUCCGGCCCGACUACCGGCCCCGGCUGGUAAGCGCCCGCCAGAGGACCCAAAACCCUGAAUAUUAGUGUCGUCUGAGUACCAUAUAAUAGUUAAAACUUUCAACAACGGAUCUCUUGGCUCUC
rnacentral:misc_RNA from 1 species